UCCAGACUCAGGCCUUUUCUCAGGCGGCCGGGAAGAUGGCGGACGCUCAGACUGAGCGUGCCUACCAAAAGCAGCCGACCAUCUUUCAAAACAAGAAGAGGGUCCUGCUGGGAGAAACUGGCAAGGAGAAGCUCCCGCGGUACUACAAGAAUAUCGGUCUGGGCUUCAAGACACUCAAGGAGGCUAUUGAGGGCACCUACAUUGACAAGAAAUGCCCCUUCACUGGUAAUGUGUCCAUUCGAGGCGGAUCCUCUCUGGCGUGGUGACCAAGAUGAAGAUGCAGAGGACCAUUGUCAUCCGCCGAGACUAUCUGCACUACAUCCGCAAGUACAACCGCUUCGAGAAGCGCCACAAGAACAUGUCUGUACACCUGUCCCCCUGCUUCAGGGACAUCCAGAUCGGUGACAUCGUCACAGUGGGCGAGUGCCGGCCUCUGAGCAAGACAGUGCGCUUCAACGUGCUCAAGGUCACCAAGGCUGCCAGCACCAAGAAGCAGUUCCAGAAGUUCUGAGGCUGGACGUCGGCCCGCUCCCCACAGUGAAAUAAAGUUAUUUUCUCAUUCCC